CCUACGGGGGGCUGCAGUAGGGAAUCUUCCGCAAUGGACGAAAGUCUGACGGAGCAACGCCGCGUGAGCGAAGAAGGUCUUCGGAUCGUAAAGCUCUGUUGUUAGGGAAGAACAAGUACGGGAGGAAAUGACCGUACCUUGACGGUACCUGACGAGGAAGCCACGGCUAACUACGUGCCAGCAGCCGCGGUAAUACGUAGGUGGCAAGCGUUGUCGGGAAUUAUUGGGCGUAAAGCGUGCGCAGGCGGACUGUGAAGUCUGGUGUGAAACUUUGCGGCUCAACCGGAGGGGGUCAUGGGAAACUGGGAGACGUGGGUGCAGAAGAGGAAAUCGGAAAUCCACGUGUAGCGGUGAAUGGCGUAGAGAUGUGGGGGAACGCCAGUGGCGAAGGCGGCUUUCUGGUAUGUAACUGACGCUGAGGCGCGAAAGCGUGGGGAGCAAACAGGAUUAGAUACCCGUGUAGUC
rnacentral:rRNA from 1 species